GAUUGCAACCCAAAUCGAUCUUCCGUCAUAGAGCACACUGAGCAGAGCACAGUCUCGUUCUUCUAACCCAUAAAUAAAGUGCUUGAAACUCAACUCUGCAUAUCAGUCUCUCUAGAUAGGAUUUCACUAAACGCGCUGCCAUGAGCUUGGCUAUAUAUCUUGAUCUGCUGGACAACACCUCGUGGCAUCCUCCGUUUAAAGAUCCGAUGAGGAUGAUUUCUACUCCGACUGUAAUUUCUUUGAUUAAUAGAAUUUGGCGAGGAGAAAGAUAAUCAGAUGCUCAGAAGCCACACAUUGAAACAAAGUAAUCCAUACCGUAAUGUAUUCCACUGUGGCAACAAAAGAGUUUGAUGGGUGACAAGGAUGAUUAUGGUGAUCUUCGAGAGAAAGUGUUAUAAUUUCACCGUGAAAACUAUCAUGGAAAAAAGAUGAAAUUAGUUGUUAUUGGAGGAGAUCUUGAUCCGCCGGACAACACCUCGUGGCAUCCUCCAUUUGAAGAUCCGAUGAUGAUUUCUACUUUUUCACCGACCGUAAUUUCUUUGAUUAAUAGGCGAGUUCACAAAGUUUCUGCUUUCUAUCUUUCCAUUUGUUUUUAUUUUUUCUUUUAGUUGCUAUGUUAAGUAGAUGAAUAAAAGAUGAGGUUGUAGUGAUGGAGUGGUUUCCGCCGUGAGAUGAUGGCGGAACCACUUUCUACCAGAUAGGUUCUGGUGAACCAGAUGAGUGCCUUUCACAGUGAUAUCAUAACCCUGACAAAGCCUUAACACCAGGAGAAGGUAACCGAAGAAAGUUUCAAUGUUGGUGGAGAAUGGGGAGAGAAGAAUAAAGUUGGAAAAAUUUAAAAUUAAAAUAAAAGUUAUCGCGGUUUAGAUUGUUCAUGAGUUUUUUGUUGUAUUUAUUUUCAUCUCCAUUUUUCAAGGUAGGGAAAAAACUUUUUUCGUUUAUUUUUGGCCAUCUAGGAAUCUCUAAAUGAAAUCUGAAUAAGUAGCUUAGUGAGUAGAAUUUCACUUAUUUAAGGUGAAAUAGGGGGAAGGAGUAACAGAGUUCAAACCCCGGUCCUUGCUCCUUGCAUAUUACCUGCAAUGUCCUUAUCAACUGAGUCAUGCUCACGGGGACGGAAAAACACAUUUAUUUACAGUAAAAAGUGAGGCCAACAAAAACAACUCCCUCUGAUACUAGAAGUAGAAGUUUAUGGAAAAAAAAACAAUGGAUAUAAAGAGGAAAUAAUAGUAAUUACUCUUUGAUACACAAGGGGGUAGCCGUAAAACAUAAAGGCAACAACUGAACCUUAUUUGAAGUAAUUGAGAGGAGGAAGCUGUCAUUCACUACAAGGAAAAUUGUAUAUUCCGGCGGUCAAAUUACGGCAGAUGCGCCAUAACCGCUGCUGCUCCCCAUUUACACUUACGGUGCACAAUAAUUAAACUCUAAAUAUUAAAUUGAAUAAUUAAAUUAAAAAAUAAAAAAUUUAGAGGGCACAACAAUUAAACUUAAAUAAAAAAAAAAGAAAAUAGAUUUAUGACACACAAGUAAAUCGAGUAUACCCACUACACACUCUCUCGAACAGGGUGCGAAGAAUGCAUUUAUAAUUUUUUGGAAUUGAUGUUGAUUUUCUAAGGUAAAUGCUAUUGUUUCAAUGUUUCCAAUAUCCACCUUUUUCAAUGUUUCCAUUUUGUUGUUUUGAAAUAGCUAAAGUUUCAAUUUUUUCACAAUGCCGUAGCAUUAUGGGAACUUUGUAGCCACUAGGCACUUGGAACUGUGUGUCAACCGACACUGAACAUUCCUUGCAAUAUUUUAGUGGAUGAUGGCUCUGAAAACACCCGACUUACCUAGUUGAAACUUAUCUUAAAUCUCCAAACCCCAUUGAAUUAAUCACUAAAGUCAAUUUUUACAUGCUAGAUUUAAAUUCUUCAAAUGCUCUGGGUCAUGUUCAUGCCCCCUCCCAACUGAUGUCUGAGAUUUGUCUACUAGAUUUGAAAGUUAUACUAUCUUUGUUGAUGCAGGCUGUUUUUCACAUUGUUCAGCAGGUUGGGGUCUGGUUGCUUAUGAUCAACCCAACUCAAUUUAUCUCUCUGCUUGUCGAAAAGAAAGCAUUGAAAUUGAUCCUCUUCUUGCAGAAGUGCUUGGUAUUCGGUGGGGAUUGCAAACUGCAAAGAAUGCAAAUUGGCAGACUGUGACUAUUGUGUCUGAUGCUGAAGUUGUUGUGAAGUGUACAACUCAAAGGCUCAUGUAGCUGCCAUUGAUCAUAUUGUUCAGGACUGCAAAGACUUGCUUCUAGCUUUUCAAGUUUCGAAUGUAGUGUUUGUUAAGCGUGAUUUAAAUGUUGUUGCUCAUAGUUUAGUUAAUUUGUCAAAAACUGUUGGUUGUAGAACUUGGUCGGGGUAUGUCCCAACUCAAGCUAACUCUGCUGUAGUUCCUGUUUCUGUUCUUUAAUGAAAUAUGUUUCCUGUCAAAAAAAAAAAAAACUUAUCUAA